rnacentral:misc_RNA from 1 species
GAUGAAGAACGCAGUGAAAUGCGAUAAGUAAUGUGAAUUGCAGAAUUCAGUGAAUCAUCGAAUCUUUGAACGCACAUUGCGCCCCUUGGUAUUCCGAGGGGCAUGCCUGUUCGAGCGUCAUUAUAACCCCUCAAGCUCAGCUUGGUGUUGGGGCCUGCCGCACGGGCAGCCCUUAAAAUCAGUGGCGGUGCCAUCUGGCUCUAAGCGUAGUAAUUCUUCUCGCUAUAGAGUUCCGGUGGAUGCUUGCCAUUAACCCCCAAUUUUCUAUGGUUGACCUCGGAUCAGGUAGGGAUACCCGCUGAACUUAAGCAUAUCAAUAAGCGGAGGA